rnacentral:sRNA from 1 species
AUUCGAGGGAAACAAGCUCUCAGGACUUCCGGUCGCCAUGAUGGCUGUGGGCGGUAAACACGCUUAGUGCAAGCAUCUGGGCCAUCUUCAAUGGUAAAAAAGAUACAGUAAAGACAUAAAUACCACAUUUGACAAAUGGAAAAAAAGGAGUUUCCAGAAAAGAGUAGCAGCAGUGAGGAAGAGCUGCCGAGACCGCACAGUGGAUCCAGUAGGAACACAGAUGCAUCCAAACUCAUUAGACUACAAGGACCACGGAAACUGUUGGUUGACAAUAGCAUACGGGAACUGCAAUACACAAAAACUGGAAUUUUUCUUCAGGCUGAGGCCUGUGUGACAAAUGAUACGGUAUACAGGGAGCUACCCCGUGUUUCUGAGAUCCGUUGUGACAUCUCACAUUUUUUCCAAGAUGAUGAUGAGACAGAGGCAGAGCCAUUAUUGUUCCGUGCUGUUCCUGAGUGUCAACUCUCUGGGGGGGACAUUCCCAGAUUUCAUACUACCAACGUGAAGCCCCUGAUGAGGGAGUUGAAAGAACACAUGCAGAAGUCUGUCAUCCUACUUUCACCACACAGAUAAAAGAGACAUAAAUAACCUCAAGGGCAUAGACUGCUGAAAAGUGUAGA